UGAGAUGAACAAGUUUGAUGAGAGCAUGAAUAAUAUUAAGGAGUUGACGAAGAAGGAGGAAAGGGAAAGUGAAAACACCUUCCCUCUCAUCAAUUUUGCCUGAUACGCAACAACAAGACGGCAGCUGUCCUUUCUGUGAUGGACGUCACAAGACGACAACAAUUCAGCCGGUUCGUUUCAUUGCUGAAGAAACCAGUUCAGAAGUGUUCCUUCGUGGAUG